UCGCCCGACUCAAAGAUGGCGGCGGCCGCGGCGGGGCUGAGGCGAUCGGCCCGGGGGCUGCUGCGCUGCCCGGCGGUCUUCCGAAGCCAGCUGUAUCAAUCUCAGCGGGCCUUCCAUCCUGCAGUGGCACUGCAAAGAGUUUCAGAAGAACAGAAACAGCCCCCCUUCCCACCUCCCAGUCAGCAAUAUUCAGCAUCUUCCCCCCUGGAUGAAAAGCAUCCAGGUUCACACCACAGUUACACAGAUCAAGGGGGUGAAGAAUCAGAGGGCUACGAGAGUGAGGAGCAGCUACAGAAUCGGAUCCUGUCAGCAGCUCUGAAAUUUGUGCCCACUCAUGGCUGGACAAUGGAUGCAAUUGCAGAAGGAGCUAAGUCCGUAGGUCUCUCUGUUGCUGCAGCAGGGCUGUUUCACAAUGACGGCAGCGAACUGAUUCUCCACUUUGUGUCCCAGAGCAACUCCAAACUCUCUGAACUUCUUGAGGAACAGCACAAGCUGGUACAACUGGGCCAACUGGAGAAGAAGACGACAGACCAGUUUAUAAAGGAUGCUUUAGAAGCGAGGCUGAGAAUGCUCAUUCCAUAUAUUGAAAAAUGGCCUCAGGCUAUGAGUGUGUUGCUGAUGCCACACAAUAUUCCAGCCAGCUUCAACCUGCUUACCACCAUGGUGGAUGACAUCUGGCACUAUGCGGGAGAUCAGUCCACCGAUAUAAAUUGGUACACUCGCCGAGUAAUACUGGCCGGAAUUUAUAACACCACAGAACUGGUGAUGAUUCAGGAUUCCUCCCCGGAUUUUGAGGAUACUUGGUCCUUCCUAUACAACAGAGUGGCUGACGCAAUGAACGUGGGCCACACAGCUAAGCAGGCUGGCUGGAAAUUUUGGGAGCUGAAAUUCCAGCCUAUUUGGAGGGAAAAGCCGCAAUAAACCAGGUUAAGGCAACCGGAGAGGCCCUUCUUCAGGGACUUAUGGGCGCUGCUGUUACUUUCAAGAAUCUCAGCGGCCUCAACCAGCGUCGAUGAAGCAAUUAGCUGUUAGUUAGGAGCAUUUGAGCAUCUCUUCUGAGACUAGCAAAGAAACUGUGUCCUGUAAAUCUCGUCACAAGAACGUGAAACUGUCUCUUAUUCUGUACCACCGUUAAAACGAACGCACCAUUUCAUCCGUCUGAUGUGAAAACCUCGGCUUUUGGGGGAGCGUGUGGAAUCGCUGGCCACCCUGACGAUCAAUUGGACCAACGGCAACCUAAAAAAAUUAAAUUCUGUUUUUAACCAAAAAUGGGUUCGGUUUGAAAAAAAUGAUAAGAAGGGUGAUAGAAGUAUUUGGGGUUCGAAAUUCUUUUAGAGCACCCUUCUUUUCAUUUUCUCCACCUGGACAUGUUAGUGUGUCUUAGCCACAAACAGACUUCUGUUGUAUUGGUGGAAUUGGCUAAAUUAUCUCCCAGCUGCAGUGGCAGCCCUUCUCCGUUUAAAACCCAGGAUUCUGCUCUGCUGUUUGUUGACAGUGUAUUUAUGGCACUCUUGUGAAUAUAUAUAUUUUCCUGUACGUUUGGACACGUCUGUAUGUUCAUUAAAAAUAGUGAGCAUU